UCUGGGAUUGUUUAUCUUGGUA
rnacentral:miRNA from 1 species